ensembl:lncRNA
AAUAAUGUCUGCUUCACCAAAGAAUUCUCAAAGCUAUUUUAAUUAGUUUUCCCAACAGGACUUCUCAGACACUGUUGACCAGAGCAUAAACAGGUACUGCCUUCCCAGCAUAUGCCAGGACUUGGAGCGAUUAUGACAGCAUGCGCCUGUAACCUAGCCACCCUCACCUCUGUGCAAACCUUGGAGCACCUUCCACCCAGGUCUACAGGGGGCACGCCCCGUGUAUCCCUGGCAACACUUGCAGCAGCUGUGAAGCAGAGGCAACCCAGAUUUCCCCAACUAAGGAAUAGAUGAGAGAACUGAGACAGAGAGGCUAUCACAACCCUAAGGGAGGAGCAGAGGCAGCGAGAUUCCAGCACUUGAGUACUUAACCACCCCAUCACUCUCAGUAAUCAAAUCUCCUACCCCAGAAACAAGGGUGAGGCCAACCACCAGCUUGGGCCAGACUCUGCUUGUUUUCUUGUCCCUUUUUUAGCUUGUUCCUCAUGCAGGGAGCCUUGGUCUCCAGGAGAGAGGCCUCCAGCAGCCCUCCUUCCCAGCUGAAGCCUUCACAGUCUACAGAGUAAUCUCACAGCCUGUCCCAUUUAAUACUUACAAAAGCCUGGGGAGACAGGUGUCUCUACCUUCAGCCUAUACACGAUGAGAGGCUCAGAGAACUGUACAUCUUGCCCAAGGAUGGAAAAGAAUAUGAGGGCAGAUAAAAGCUAACAUAUGUGACAGUGUAUUCUAUAAAAAUAAAUUCAGUUGUAAGCAAACAAAAGAAAUAUCCAGUUCAUAUCAGCUGAGGGAAGAGAAACAGGGAUUUAAUUUUUUUCCAUCAUAUGAAAUCAAGAAAUAACAACAGUAAUCCUGGCAUUGUCCCAUAACUUGACAGGGUCAGAGCUGGAGUUCUUACUGUUUCCUUGACUUUGUUAUCACGCACAUCACCUCAUUACUGCAAAAUGGCUGCUGAUCCUCCA